rnacentral:rRNA from 1 species
AGAGUUUGAUCCUGGCUCAGAACAAACGCUGGCGGCGUGCCUAACACAUGCAAGUCGUACGAGAAAGUUCGCUUCGGCGGAUGAGUAAAGUGGCGCACGGGUGAGUAACGCGUGGAUAAUCUACCCUUUAAUUGGGGAUAACCCAUCGAAAGGUGGGCUAAUACCGAAUAAUACUGAUUCUACCUCGGAAGAACAGUCAAAGGGGGCCUCUGUUUACAGAGGCUCUUGUUAAAGGAUGAGUCCGCGUACCAUUAGCUAGUUGGUAGGGUAAUGGCCUACCAAGGCGACGACGGGUAGCUGGUCUGAGAGGAUGAUCAGCCACACUGGCACUGGAACACGGGCCAGACUCCUACGGGAGGCAGCAGUGAGGAAUUUUGCGCAAUGGGAGCAAUCCUGACGCAGCAACGCCGCGUGGGUGAAGAAGGCCUUCGGGUCGUAAAGCCCUGUCAGGUGGGAAGAACAGCUUGAAGAUGAAUAAGCUUUGAGUUUGACGGUACCACCAGAGGAAGCACCGGCUAACUCCGUGCCAGCAGCCGCGGUAAUACGGAGGGUGCAAGCGUCAUUCGGAAUUACUGGGCGUAAAGCGCGUGUAGGCGGGAAAGCAAGUCUGAUGUGAAAGCCCCGGGCUUAACCUGGGAAGUGCAUUGGAAACUGUUUUUCUUGAGUACUGGAGAGGAAGGGAGAAUUCCCGGUGUAGAGGUGAAAUUCGUAGAGAUCGGGAGGAACACCAGUGGCGAAGGCGCCCUUCUGGACGGUUACUGACGCUGAGACGCGAAAGCGUGGGGAGCAAACAGGAUUAGAUACCCUGGUAGUCC